UAAAUAGUAAACAGUAAUAAACAGUAAAUAGAAUUUAAGAAUCAUGAUUGCCGCAGUCUCAAAGAUGACAGAGAAAGCAGCCAUUACAUGGGAGAAUAAUAUUUGUUUUUCAUGUUGGAAGCUCCUGUGUGCAGCAAGACAGAAACCAAAUGAUCCUCAGAAGAUAAUAGGGAUCCGUUUUCUUGAGCUGUCUCAAGCCCAGGAAGCUGGUGGCAAGAUCCGGUCCAGCAGCCUUCUCCUGAUCCCGGAGAAGGUUUACUACAGCUGCUCAAAGAAAAUAGACCCAGAAUAAGAAAAUGUCCACUUGGAUUUAGGAAACUAGCAAAUUCAUUCAGCUUUUCUUCAUUAAUGAUGCUAUGAAUAGUCAAAUCGAAAAAUUAAUUCCUACAAGACUAAGUGGAUAAAUUGUCAUCCUUUGACCCUUCAAAGAAUUAGAUCUAAAUAUAGUUUUAUGGUCAGCUCAGUCUACACUUGUCAGUAGUCCAACCAAAUAAAUCAACAUUUUAAACUUAAUGCA
rnacentral:lncRNA from 1 species